UACGUAGGGGCCUAGCGUUGUCCGGAUUUAUUGGGCGUAAAGAGCUCGUAGGCGGUUCGGUAAGUCAGGUGUGAAAUCUCCACGCUCAACGUGGAGGAGCCACCUGAAACUGCCGUGACUCGAGUCCGGUAGGGGAGUGUGGAAUUCCCGGUGUAGCGGUGAAAUGCGCAGAUAUCGGGAGGAACACCAGUGGCGAAGGCGGCGCUCUGGGCCGGUACUGACGCUGAGGAGCGAAAGCGUGGGGAGCGAACAGG
rnacentral:rRNA from 1 species